ensembl:lncRNA
AUUUUGGAAGGAGAAUACAGACUGUGUACUUAGAGGGAUGGUCCAGCUGCAGUCAGGCCAGUAUGAGUGUAACCAAUCAAACUGAAGAAGACAUGAAGAAGACUUUAAACAUGAUUAUGGAUAUUAAUGUAUUUAUAUUAAAAUAAAUGUGUUUUAGUCUUCUGUGUCUGAAGUGACUUCCAGCUGGAAGAAUAGUGUAAAAAAAACACACAAAAAAAUCAAACAAAUUUAAAAGUGAUGUGACAUGCAGCCAAGUAUUGUGACCCAUACUCAGAAUUUGUGCUCUGCAUUUAACCCAUCCAAAGUGCACACACACAGCAGUGAACACGUGAAAACACACCCGGAGCAGUGGGCAGCCAUUUAUGCUGCGGCGCCCAGGGAAAUUAUUAGUAUGAAAGAAAAAUGUUGUAAUGGUGAAAAUGAGUUGUAUGAUUGUGUUAUAGUUAUUACAUACGUAAAUAAAUGACUCCUUACAUCAUUAGAGUAGGUGAGAGGUUUGUGUUUCUUGUACAACCAGUCUGUAGUUUGGUUUUGGUUUCAUUUCUUUCAAGUAUUUAACACAGAUUCUUUUACUCUAGUGUAGUGUUUUAUCAAUACAAGCUGAAGUUGCAAGCACAUCUUUCCAAGGCUUUGCCAACAUGGGAACACAAGGGCAAAAAAAGGAUGAGAAUUCCUUCAAAGUUUGUAGUUCGAUUGGACCUGUUUCUUCUUUUGUAGGAAAUGGUGCCACAGCUACUUGUGUUGUUGCCACAAAGAAACUGAAUGUUUCUUCUUUUGUUAAAGGAGGAGCAUGUGCAGCUUUGGGUAUGAAUAUUUUUCAAUCCAUUAAUCUGAGCAACCAAAGAAAAUUUUUCACCUUGAACAUUGUUUCUUUGUUGGAAUAUUAGGUGGUACUGCAAAAGAUGCAACAUCCUUCAUCCUUAACUCAGCCACAGGCUGCAACUCCACAUCCAGUGGUCAGAAGUGAUUCGACGGGAAACCAGUGUUGGAGAUUCAGCAGCAUUAACAUGUACACGAUAUGAAAGCAUAAGUGAAAAUGCAUUUAUCUCUUUUGCCACCGUCUGUGAUAAGAGCCUCAAUAAAGACUCAUUCAACUAGACA